AGGACGAACGCUGGCGGCGUGCUUAACACAUGCAAGUCGAGCGGAAAGGCCCUUCGGGGUACUCGAGCGGCGAACGGGUGAGUAACACGUGAGCAACCUGCCCUUAGCUCUGGGAUAGCUCCGGGAAACCGGAAUUAAUACCGGAUACGACCUAGGCCGACAUCGGCCAUGGUGGAAAGUUUUUCGGCUAGGGAUGGACUCGCGGCCUAUCAGCUAGUUGGUGGGGUAAAGGCCUACCAAGGCGACGACGGGUAGCCGGCCUGAGAGGGCGACCGGCCACACUGGGACUGAGACACGGCCCAGACUCCUACGGGAGGCAGCAGUGGGGAAUCUUGCGCAAUGGGCGAAAGCCUGACGCAGCGACGCCGCGUGGGGGAUGAAGGCCUUCGGGUUGUAACCCCUUUCAGCAGGGACGAAGCGAAAGUGACGGUACCUGCAGAAGAAGCGCCGGCUAACUACGCGCCAGCAGCCGC
rnacentral:rRNA from 1 species